CUCUUCCCAGAACUCAUUUAAGGGUUGGCAGUGGAGGUGAGGGUGUUUGGUUGGAGCUCCCUACGUACCUGAGGCCUUUCAAAGAAUAUCAUGGCUACCAGAUGUCAUUACAAACAUCACCUAACAUCAAAAGCUGCACCUCAUUAUAGAGGAAAGGAAAAGGAAAAAGAAGGAAAAUAAACACUCCAGUCUGGAAGAAGAGUAAUUCUUUAGAAGUGGUGUCAGAAAAGAGAGGAAAUGAGGUUAUGAGUUAUGCUUUGUCCCUCUUUGAAUUCUCUGUCUAGGCAGAUAAUUCUCCCAAAUUGUCUCUCUGUGGCAUCAAACAAUAACUUCAGAUGCUGUUCAAAUAUGACAAUAUUGAUCAGGCCAGUGCUAAUCCCCCAAAUCUGUUCUUCAGUUGAAUAUUCCUUGACAGCUUAGUGGCUCCAAGUCAUUUCUCGGCAAGGGAAACUCAACAAACGACUGUUUCAUUGCGGCAAGGUAAAAGAUAUUGAAUUAUCCAUGGGUUAGUUUAUGGGAAGCCAACAAGGCUGUGGCAAUCAUGGAGUGCCUGGAAGCUGUACUGUCAUCUGUGCCUUCCCCUCC
ensembl:lncRNA